GCUGCUGCUCAGAGAGACCUCGCCAGGUCCCGCCCCUGGAGCCCGCCCGCAGUCCCGCGGCUGAGGUUGCGCCUUGGGCUUGUGCCAGCGGACACUGCCCCCCACCCCGCCCCGCCAGAGAGCUCUCCCCGAGCAAUAAAGCAUAUCUACACUGCCUAUAUCACAGCACAGCCACAGCCGCACUGUAACCCUCCAGGUCCUGACCAGGUGCUGGUUUGCUGGAUGAGCUGUUCCACUACCUCCAACAGUCAUCGCUGUUGGCUGCCACCCUGGCCCAGAGAUCAAGCUGCCCAGACAUACAAGGUGAAAGAAGAUGAUGGAUGGGGAUUCUGGAUCUGAGGUGAGGUGCGUGUAGGGGCCAGCAAUGGAAACUCUGGUCAAUGUCCUCCUCCUGGCAGAGUGCUGCUGCUACUGCUUUGCUACAACUGGAAAUUCCUAGGAUUCCGAAGUAAUUUAAGCAGGAAAACUGUUCCAAGUAAAUUAUUUGUUUCCGAGCUUCAUCACACUGUUUUCAGCACAUAUGGACUAAGUGUUUUUCAUGAAUAUAGACAGUACAUCCAACACCCCCACCCUCCAAAAAUAUACAGUCAGUAAAAAGUAGCAAUAUUGGAACUUUAACAUGCAAGAGAGACACCAGUUAGAGGAAAAAACAGAUUUAUUUUUAAACAAUCUAACAGCUAUGUUCCCACACAACAUGUGCUGGUUGGAAAUAUUUACUUCAUAUUUCAUUUUUGUUAAUGUCAUUUCAUAAGCCACUAUUCACUCAGAAGUAUAUGUGCAAAUACUGAAACACCAAUGUUUUGAUUACAGAGUGUCUAAUAUAGUAUGUUAACUACAGUACUCCCAAAAAGGCUCCUGACUGAACAGAGGGGAUACACCCCAAAUCCUCCUAGGAGGCCUGAGGAUUCCUUCUGCCUGUUAGAAAUACACUCACGAGGAGGCUGAGCAUAGUGCCUUCCAAAAUCCAUUAACAACCACUCGCUCAAAAUCAACUACAGACUUGUGUAAAUUAAUUCAGAUUAAGGUGGAGUGUGAAUUUAAAGUACAAUAGCUAUUUCUGAGUAACUCCACAUGUGGAUCUUUAGAGGUUUGACUCUUCCUAAAUAGCUAUUCUGAAGCAACUGCAUGAGUAGACAUGCUCUAGCCUGAGUAAAGGCUACCUCCAUAUGAGUAAGAGAUUGAAAGCUCAGGCUCUAGGUUCCCCAUUUAAUUGCUGGAUUUGGUGUAGUGCAUGUCCUUCCCACUAGUGUGCUGACAUGAUCUUCAAACCUGAAGUGAAUAUCUCCUUGCAGCUCCGGAUUCUUCAAGGUUUCUUCAAUCAUUUGAAACAGCCAGUCUCUUCCGACAAACACAGAGUCUG